UACGGGGGGGGCAAGCGUUGUUCGGAAUUGCUGGGCGUAAAGGGCUCGUAGGCGGCCAACUAAGUCAGACGUGAAAUCCCUCGGCUUAACCGGGGAACUGCGUCUGAUACUGGAUGGCUCGAGUUUGGGAGAGGGAUGCGGAAUUCCAGGUGUAGCGGUGAAAUGCGUAGAUAUCUGGAGGAACACCGGUGGCGAAGGCGGCAUCCUGGACCAACACUGACGCUGAGUGAGCGAAAGCCAGGGGAGCAAACGGG
rnacentral:rRNA from 1 species